ACUUGGCUGAACUGUCCAUGAGGACGCCAGACAGCAUGGACCGCCAGAGGGCCAUCUUUGGGUGGAAAUGGAUGGUGGAGAGGUACUUUUGGCUUCUCACCACCACUUUGGAGGAACUUGGGCUGAAGGACAAACCUCAUCAAAUUUACAACUGUGAUGAAACAGGAUUCAGCAUUGAGCAGGGCAGGUGCAAAGUACUGGCACCCCUGGGCGCUGCUCAGGUGUACCAGCAGGCCCAGGGGACAAGAGACCACCUGUCAGUACUGGCCUGCCUAAAUGCGGUUGGGUAGGAUGUUCCUUCUUUCAUAAUCUAUAAGAAACAUUCCCCGGAGGCCCCUUAACCCAAGGAGGACCUCCAGGUGCCCUGUAUGGCAAGUCGCCUGCAGGGUACAUUGACGGGGAGCUGUUCCUCAAGUGUUUUGGCUAUUUUAUUGCACAUGCCAACAAGGAGCGCCCUCUGCUCCUUACAUUAAACGGCCACAAGAGCCACCUCAUCAAAGAGGAUAUAGCAGCAGCAAAGAGGGAGCACCCCCCUGCCACCGCACCUGCUCCACCCAUCACCACAGCUCCACUCUCCACCGUCCCAGCCAGUGCCUCCUCCUCCUCCUCACCCCCUGCAGCCACCCCAUCAUCAUCCUCCUCUACCACCACAACAACAGGUCAGAAGAGGUAAGCUCCGGCACCGAAGACAGCUCAGAAGACGAAGAGAAGUGCCAGGGGGGACCGAGAAGCACCCACGGCACAAAAACAAGGAGUUGGUGCCCUACGCACAGCGCGUAGUGCGCGUUAUGGGAGCGGCGGCACUGAAUACAAUACAUUUCAAACCGUGAAAGAAAGAGGCAUUUCAACAAAAUGUGGGCAAGGGUGUCAAGAGCACAGAAAAGAAAAGGGGGUCAACCAGCAGUAACCCACCACAUCAGAGAAAAAUGAAUCAAAUGAACCAAACACCUCCGUUUAUGAGCGUGGUCCAGUAGCAACAGAAUCAGAAGUUGAGCUGGUUGAACCUACACUAAAAGAAGAAUUGUCAAGAGUGGGCCUGUAACUUUGGUGUCACUCACAAUGCACUGGACGCUCUACUAAAAGUGCUGAGACGGCAGGGCCACAAGGAGCUCCCCUCUACUGCCAGAACACUACUGGAAACAAAAAGAACAUUUAAAAUGGAAAUGAUAGGAGGUGUUGAGACCAUACAAUACGAUGUUGCGGACCAGCUCAAACGUCAUCUUAAUUAAUAUGUCCCGGACACAACAAAAGAUCUUCGAUCAGUAAACAUCUCCCUCAACACAGCUUGACGGCUUGCCCCUUUUCAAAUAUUCAAACAAAUCCCUCUGGCCAAUUCUUUGCUCCAUCAUUUUGACACCCAAAUCUAUUUCCCCCGCUCCCUCUCCAUUGCCUCAUCUAAAACCCAAGGACUUCACCUUUAUAAGUGGAAUAACAACACAACUAUCUGAACUAAUGCAGGAUGGUCUGGAAUGGAUGGGCAGAUCCCUAAAGGUAGAACUUUGUUUAACCUGUGAUGCCCCUGCUAAGGCCAUGGUGAGAUGCGUGAAGCUGUUUUCAGGGUAUUACGGUUGCGACAAAUGUAAUCAGAAGGGGGCCUGGGAUGGAAGAAUGCUCUUCCCAGAGAUGGACAGUCUCACCUUGAGGACCAAUCAGUCAUUCAGGGAGUGUUGGCAGCCCGAACACCACCAUGCGGAGCGCAUAUCUUCAUUCUGCAGCCUGCUGAUCGAUAUGGUCCAUCAUCCCCAGCUGAUUAUAUGCACCAGUGCUGCCUAGGCGUCAUGGGGAAGCUGCUGCUCCUGUGGAAAAGGGGAAAGACUGAGGUCAGAAUGUCUAGAGCACAAAUUGCACUGGUUAACACACGUCUGGGGGCCCUGAGAAGCGCAAUUUUUUUGGCCACAAGCCAAGGGGACUGGAUGACCUUGACAGCUGGAAGGCUACCGGGGGCAACAGGCCAGUGGCAGAUGAGGUGGAAGACCUAUUGGAGCGGCCACUGGAGACCCUGGAGGUGUUGGGACAGUCGUGCCACAGACUCCAGACAGAUGCCACAUUUAAGAAAAAGAUUAUUCAGUACUUGAGUCGGCAGGCUGGGGUGAGCCUCGGAGACAGAGUGAGGAGAAUGCUGAGAAAGAACAGCAGCAAUGAACUGUGGGGCCACUACAGCAACAAGGGGAGGAAGGGGAAACUGACAUUUUAGGCGCUGCCCAUAAACCAGGCAUUGAUAAGGGCAUGUCUGAAGGCCUAUCCAAAAAUAAAAGAUGCUGACACGUCCGCCCGUGGACGAGGAGGAGGAGGAAGAAGAGGAGGAAGUGGAAGCGGAAUUCCAACAUUGAACAUUUAAUUUAAUUUAAUUUAAUUUAAUUUAAUUUAAUUUUUUAUUAUUAAUAUUAAACUAUAUUAAACUAUAAAUAUGACCACAUUUUAUCCUGAAUGUGUGUUUCUUUUAGCUCGGAGAAAAUAAAAAUGGUAUUAGUCUAGUAGAAUUAAGUCACAGCGACAGAAAGGUUGUCAAAAUCACAUCUAGCAUUGUUAAAACAGUCUUUUGAACGUCCUUGAAUAACGUCCCCA
ensembl:lncRNA